rnacentral:tRNA from 1 species
UUUUAAUAGUUUAACAAAAACUUUGGUCUUGUAAACCAAAAUUAAGAAUUAUCUUUUAAAAC